GUGGGGAAUAUUCCGCAAUGGACGAAAGUCUGACGGAGCAACGCCGCGUGAGUGAUGAAGGUUUUCGGACUGUAAAGCUCUGUUGUUUAGGACGAAAGUGCCUGUUGCGAACAGUUACAGGUAUUGGCGGUACUAAACGAGGAAGCCACGGCUAACUACGUGCCAGCAGCCGCGGUAAUACGUAGGUGGCAAGCGUUGUCCGGAAUUAUUGGGCGUAAAGAGCAUGUAGGCGGAGAUUUAAGUCUGUUGUGAAAAUGCGGGGCUCAACCCCGUAUUGCGAGGGAAACUGAAUUUCUUGAGUGCAGGAGAGGAAAGGGGAAUUCCCAGUGUAGCGGUGAAAUGCGUAGAUAUUGGGAGGAACACCAGUGGCGAAGGCGCCUUUCUGGACUGUGUCUGACGCUGAGAUGCGAAAGCCAGGGUAGCGAACGGGAUUAGAAACCCUAGUAGUCC
rnacentral:rRNA from 1 species